rnacentral:lncRNA from 1 species
AAAUCGUAGUGCUUUUGUGUGAGCAGAAAAGAGCUCACUGAGAGCUCAUUUCCAGAUCGCACUGAUGAACCUCACAUGGGAGAGACCGCAGAGGCAGAGCAGCGUUGGUGAGCUGCCCUCGUGUUCAGGUGCUCCUGCAGGCAGAGACCACCUGCAAGGAUGGGGCUGCCUUCAGGUCAGGGGCUACCGAAAAAGGUAGGAACAUUUCUGCAGCAUUUCCUCUUAAGAGAGGCUUUAAUCCACAGCAAGGACUAAAAAGCUUCAGUUGGUGCUCAGUCAUAGGAAACGAACAGCACAGCACAGAGCAGGGAGGGUCCCUGAGACACAGCAGGGAAAAGACUUCCCCUCAACAUUUUUGACUGCUUCAGAGGUGUAUUCAGUUUACCUCUUGUGUUUGUUUCUACAGAUGUAAUUAAACCCCCUCUAGCUACCUACAAACAGGCACCAAAACUGUUGUUUUGGAUAGGACCUCAAAUCAGCUUUGGGCCAGAAGAUUGAAUACAUGAUUUGCUCAAGUCAUUUUUGCAACGGCUUCCAUCAUUUUAUAAAACUCCCUGCACUCUGCAGACCUGUGCAGAUCACUGGAAGAUAGAAAUGUCAUUUCUAAGGAUGAGUACAUUUUAAUCCUUUUGGUUUCAGUAGAGGAGCCAUUCCUGAUGCUCACAAACACGUGGAAGAUUUAUGGUGUGUUUAUGGCUGAUGUAGAAGUGGACUCAGUUUUAUGGCUGAACUGUUAAAUUUCAUUAGCUAAAAUGGACAUACAUAGGUGAGGUUCACAUAAGCUGUAUAUUUUCCAUAGAAACAUCCUCUCCAUAAAGCAUUUCUGUGGCCCUCACCCCAUUUUACUCCCAGCUCUGGGCAUCUCCUUUGAGCUCCCACACAGAUUCCACGGCGCCAUGUGAACGGCCUCAGGUGGACAAUGGCUCAGCUCGAGCCAAGAGUGAUGCUGCUGUUGGCUGCACGCCCUGCACAGGGCACGCACAGCAUCACACAAAGAGCAACAAGCUGCAGCUGCCCCGCUUCUGGAUGUGAUCUGUCAAGCACAGCUCAGAUGCCGAAUUCCAGCAAACUGCCUUCCAUUCAGCACUGCCUUAAAUACAGAGCUAUUAAUGGACCGUGCUUGCAGUGUCAGGCUAAAGAUGCACACACAAAUAACUGAAGAUCCACUGACGCAGAGAGG